rnacentral:rRNA from 1 species
GAUGAACGCUAGCGGCAGGCCUAACACAUGCAAGUCGAGGGGUAGUUGUCUUCGGACAAUGAGACCGGCGCACGGGUGCGUAACGCGUAUGCAAUCUACCUUAUACUAAGGGAUAGCCCAGAGAAAUUUGGAUUAAUACCUUAUAGUUAAUAGAGUUGGCAUCGACUUUAUUAUAAAGAUUAAUUGGUAUAAGAUGAGCAUGCGUCCCAUUAGUUAGUUGGUAAGGUAACGGCUUACCAAGACGAUGAUGGGUAGGGGUCCUGAGAGGGAGAUCCCCCACACUGGUACUGAGACACGGACCAGACUCCUACGGGAGGCAGCAGUGAGGAAUAUUGGUCAAUGGGCGCAAGCCUGAACCAGCCAUGCCGCGUGCAGGAUGAAGCAUCUAUGGUGUGUAAACUGCUUUUGUACGGGAAGAAAAAAAGCUACGUGUAGCUUACUGACGGUACCGUAAGAAUAAGGAUCGGCUAACUCCGUGCCAGCAGCCGCCGCCG